rnacentral:tRNA from 2 species
CAAAAUAGAGCAUGAUUAUGCAUUUCACUUACACUGAACAGAUAGAGACUAAUCUCUUAUUUUGA